rnacentral:tRNA from 1 species
GCCCGGAUGGCGAAAUUGGUAGACGCAAGAGACUUAAAAUCUCUCGACCGAAAGGUUGUGCGGGUUCGAUUCCCGCUCCGGGCACCA